CUGCUGCCUCCCGUAGGAGUCUGGGCCGUGUCUCAGUCCCAAUGUGGCCGUUCAACCUCUCAGUCCGGCUACCGAUCGUUGACUAGGUGGGCCGUUACCCCGCCUACUAUCUAAUCGGCCGCGAGCCCAUCUUUCAGCAGAUUUCUCUUUUGGUUGUAAAUGGAUGCCCUUUUACAACGUUAUGCGGUAUUAGCAGUCGUUUCCAACUGUUAUCCCCCUCUGAAAGGCAGGUUGCUCACGUGUUACUCACCCGUCCGCCACUAAACCA
rnacentral:rRNA from 1 species